UACGAAGGGGGCUAGCGUUGUUCGGAAUUACUGGGCGUAAAGCGCACGUAGGCGGAUCGAUCAGUCAGGGGUGAAAUCCCAGGGCUCAACCCUGGAACUGCCUUUGAUACUGUCGAUCUGGAGUAUGGAAGAGGUGAGUGGAAUUCCGAGUGCAGAGGUGAAAUUCGUAGAUAUUCGGAGGAACACCAGUGGCGAAGGCGGCUCACUGGUCCAUUACUGACGCUGAGGUGCGAAAGCGUGGGGAGCAAACAGG
rnacentral:rRNA from 1 species